rnacentral:rRNA from 1 species
CUCCUCUCUCCUCCUCGCCGCCACAGGGGUCCCUCUCCUUCCUCAAGCAGCGGCGGCGGCGUGAAAUACAGUGGGCUCGGCCUUCGUCGGCGGCCGGGUUCCUCUCCUCCGUCGAGCAGAGGCAGCGGCGGUGGCGGCGGCGUGAGACGCAGGGGGCUCGGCCCUUCGUCGGCGGCGGGGUUCCUCUCCUCCGCCGAGAAGCGGCGGCGGCGCGGGACGCAGCGCGACCUGACUGCGACGGCAGCAGCGGGGUCCCUCUCCUCCGUCCAGUGGAGGUGGAGGUCGAGCGCAUCGUGGCCGCUGGAGUAGGAGAAGCAGCGGGCGGCGGGGCUGAGGAUGCCGGCGAGCGGGAGGAAGCGGGUGAGCGCGUGCGGCGGGAACGCGGCGGCCGGGUCAACCUGGCGGUAGAAGAAGAGGCGCUCGACAGGGUCCGUGAAGAGCCAGCACACGUCGUCGAAGAAGGUGAUGGGGAGCUCCGCACACAGCGUCCCCGGCGCCGGUGCCAUGUGGGUUCGCUCCGUGCACCUUUGCUUCCGCCAUGGCUCACUGGCUUUGCUUGCUUGGUGAACACAUUUCGUCCAGCCACCGCUCGUAUUUCAGGCAUCCACAAGACCAUCAAGACCGUCAAAACGAAGGUUCAUGUAUCUAUGAAUGCUUGUCAAUUUUAUUCAAUUUUGGAGAUGAAUGGGUAUGUUUAAGAAUUCUUAAAUCAAAGUCUGAAACAUACCAAAAGUGGGCAAAUCGUAUGUUUUUUAGGCUUAGAUUUCUGCUAGGUUAUUACGUAUUUCAAGUGUAUUUGUAUUAGUCAAGACGUGCAGCAAUUAUUAUCAUACAAAAAAUCUAACAAAUUAUAUGAUUGAUGCUUCAUUGAGUCUACUAUUAAUAGGGUUGCAUUGUGUUUUUACUAGAAAGCUGUAGCAGCCUAUCCUUGAUUCAAGUCCAGAAUGAAGUAUGAACAAUAUUUUAUCCAAUUUACGUGGAUUGGCUUCCCAUAGAAGGUAUCUGCGAAUGCAUCGCCUCUAUAUUCUAAGAUCACCUUUCAAUUGAUACUUACUAUCUCUAAUAAAAAAUGGUUGGCCAGUGCUAUAAAAGGCACCAGCCUUGCUGCACUACUUAUUCUAACCUACAGUAAGAAGGUACUUCCGUUCCUUUGGUACAUGUUUCUCGCUGGUGUAUAUCCUUUUGUUCCGUCGAACUAGCAAUAGUAUAGCUAUGUCAACGAAAUUGCUGCUGCAAUAUUGUGUUUUAGAUUGCAACACUAUAUUUACAAUAUUUAAGUGUGAUGUGAGAGUGGUUGUUAUUUUCAUCACGGAAAUCUUGAUUAAAGUUGAUGAUCCAGAAUUAAAGAAGCAUAUGAGAUCUGUGUAAUAAAUUGUGUUUUCAUUAAAGAUGUCUUAGUGGAGAUGUAUUCUGAUUUUACUUCACAAUUCUCAAUUCUAUUAAGGCAUAUUUCGUUAACUUUGCAUUGCUUGCAUAAUUUUAAGGAAACCAAAGCAACCAUGUCACUAUUUCUCGCAGGGGGUGGGGCCGGCGAAGGUGGAGCUACUGGCGUGCAAAAGGGCAGCCCAACUGGCGGAUGAUGUCAAUGCAGCACAUAUACACAUUAAGAUGGAUUGCAAGGAGAUAGUUCGGAAGCUUCAGAAUCUAUCUUGGCAAGGGCCUUUGGUUCAGGAUGUCAAGCAUCUAAUGGAGGCACGCCAAAGCUGGAAGGUGAGCUGGGUUAGGAGAUCAGCUAAUGUGGCGGAUCACAGAUUAGCUAGGGAAGGGGUUAUGAAUAAUUUGUGUAAGGUAUGGCUGCAUCAACCACCUGAUUGUAUCCACGACGUUAUUGCGGCAGAAAUUCCUGCCUUCUAUGAAUAAAUAGGAAACGUAUUGAACC